rnacentral:rRNA from 1 species
AUUGAACGCUGGCGGCAGGCCUAACACAUGCAAGUCGAGCGAGCGGCGGACGGGUGAGUAAUGUAUGGGGACUGCCCGAUAGAGGGGGAUAACUACUGGCAACGGUUGCUAAUACCGCAUACUCUCGGCUAACCCCUAUGGGAUUAGCUAGUCGGUUGGGUAAAGGCUCACCUAGGCGACGAUGUCUAGCUGGUCUGAGAGGAUGAUCAGCAACACUGGGGCUGAGACACGGCCCAGACUCCUACGGAGGCAGCAGUGGGGAAUAUUGCACAAUGGGCGCAAGCAUGAUGCAGCCAUGCCGCGUGUAUGAAGAAGGCCUUAGGGUUGUAAAGUACUUUCAGCGGGGAGGCGUUACCCGCAGAAGAAGCACCGGCUAACUCCGUGCCAGCAGCCGCGGUAAUAC